rnacentral:rRNA from 1 species
GACGAACGCUGGCGGCGUGCCUAAUACAUGCAAGUCGAGCGAAUCAAUAGGAGCUUGCUCCUGUUGAUUAGCGGCGGACGGGUGAGUAACACGUGGGCAACCUGCCUGUAAGACUGGGAUAACACCGGGAAACCGGUGCUAAUACCGGAUAAUCCUUUUCCUCUCAUGAGGGAAAGCUGAAAGUCGGUUUCGGCUGACACUUACAGAUGGGCGCGCGGCGCAUGAGCUAGUUGGUGAGGUACCGGCUCACCAAGGAGACGAUGCGUAACCGACCCGAGGGGGUGAUCGGCCAGACGGGGACUGAGACACGGCCCAGACUCUUACGCGGGGCAGCAGUAGGGAAUCUUCCACAAUGGAGGAAAGUCUGAUGGAGCAACGCCGCGUGAGCGAUGAAGGCCUUCGGGUCGUAAAGCUCUGUUGUUAGGGAAGAACAAGUACCGGAGUAACUGCCGGUACCUUGACGGUACCUAACCAGAAAGCCACGGCUAACUACGUGCCAGCCGCCGCCGUAA